rnacentral:rRNA from 1 species
AGUGAACGCUGGCGGUAGGCCUAACACAUGCAAGUCGAACGGCAGCACAGGAGAGCUUGCUCUUUGGGUGGCGAGUGGCGGACGGGUGAGGAAUACAUCGGAAUCUGCCCAGUCGUGGGGGAUAACGUAGGGAAACUUACGCUAAUACCGCAUACGACCUUCGGGUGAAAGAGGGGGAUCGCAAGACCUCUCGCGAUGGGAUGAGCCGAUGUCGGAUUAGCUAGUUGGCGGGGUAAUGGCCCACCAAGGCGACGAUCCGUAGCUGGUCUGAGAGGAUGAUCAGCCACACUGGAACUGAGACACGGUCCAGACGCCUACGGGAGGCAGCAGUGGGGAAUAUUGGACAAUGGGCGCAAGCCUGAUCCAGCCAUACCGCGUGGGUGAAGAAGGCCUUCGGGUUGUAAAGCCCUUUUGUUGGGAAAGAAAUCUUUCAGGCUAAUACCCUGGGAGGAUGACGGUACCCAAAGAAUAAGCACCGGCUAACUUCGUG